AAUGAACGCUGGCGGCAUGGAUUAGGCAUGCAAGUCGAACGAAGAAAUUGAAGCUUGCUUCAAUGGACGAGUGGCGAAAGGGUGAGUAACGCGUGAGUAACCUGCCCUCAAGACUGGGAUAACAACUGGAAACGGUUGCUAAUACCGGAUGUGGAUUUAGAAGGGAUUCCUUUUAAAUCUAAAAAUUUAUUGCUUGAGGAUGGGCUCGCGUUCCAUUAGUUAGUUGGUGAGGUAACGGCUCACCAAGACUGCGAUGGAUAGCUGGUCUGAGAGGAUGAUCAGCCACACUGGGACUGAGACACUGCCCAGACUCCUACGGGAGGCUGCAGUCGAGAAUCUUCCGCAAUGCACGAAAGUGUGACGGAGCAAUGCCGCGUGUGGGAUGACUGCCUUCGGGUUGUAAACCACUGUCACUAGGGACGAAGAUCUGACGGUACCUAGAGAGGAAGCCACGGCUAACUACG
rnacentral:rRNA from 1 species